rnacentral:rRNA from 1 species
AAGCGGUGGAGCAUGUGGUUAAUUCGAUGCAACGCGAAGAACCUUACCUGGUCUUGACAUCCACGGAAGUUUUCAGAGAUGAGAAUGUGCCUUCGGGAACCGUGAGACAGGUGCUGCACGGCUGUCGUCAGCUCGUGUUGUGAAAUGUUGGGUUAAGUCCCGCAACGAGCGCAACCCUUAUCCUUGUUGCCAGCGGUCCGGCCGGGAACUCAAAGGAGACUGCCAGUGAUAAACUGGAGGAAGGUGGGGAUGACGUCAAGUCAUCAUGGCCCUUACGACCAGGGCUACACACGUGCUACAAUGGCGCAUACAAAGAGAAGCGACCUCGCGAGAGCAAGCGGACCUCAUAAAGUGCGUCGUAGUCCGGAUUGGAGUCUGCAACUCGACUCCAUGAAGUCGGAAUCUGUAGUAAUCGUGUCUCAAAAUGGCACGGUGAAUAUGUCCCUGCUCCUU